rnacentral:rRNA from 1 species
GACGAACGCUGGCGGCGUGCUUAACACAUGCAAGUCGAACGGUAAGGCCCUUCGGGUACACGAGUGGCGAACGGGUGAGUAACACGUGGGUGGUCUGCCCUGCACUUCGGGAUAAGCCUGGGAGACUGGGUCUAAUACCGGAUAGGACUCCUGGCUUCAUGGUUGGGGGUGUAAAGCUUUUGCGGUGUGGGAUGGGCCCGCGGCCUAUCAGCUUGUUGGUGGGGUAAUGGCUUACCAAGGCGACGACGGGUAGCCGGCCUGAGAGGGUGACCGGCCACACUGGGACUGAGAUACGGCCCAGACUCCUACGGGAGGCAGCAGUGGGGAAUAUUGCACAAUGGGCGCAAGCCUGAUGCAGCGACGCCGCGUGAGGGAUGACGGCCUCGGUUGUAACGUACUUCUAUAGGACGAAG